UGGGGAAUAUUGCACAAUGGGCGCAAGCCUGAUGCAGCCAUGCCGCGUGUAUGAAGAAGGCCUUCGGGUUGUAAAGUACUUUCAGCGGGGAGGAAGGUGUUGAGGUUAAUAACCUCAGCAAUUGACGUUACCCGCAGAAGAAGCACCGGCUAACUCCGUGCCAGCAGCCGCGGUAAUACGGAGGGUGCAAGCGUUAAUCGGAAUUACUGGGCGUAAAGCGCACGCAGGCGGUCUGUCAAGUCGGAUGUGAAAUCCCCGGGCUCAACCUGGGAACUGCAUUCGAAACUGGCAGGCUAGAGUCUUGUAGAGGGGGGUAGAAUUCCAGGUGUAGCGGUGAAAUGCGUAGAGAUCUGGAGGAAUACCG
rnacentral:rRNA from 1 species